CGGACAACUCUGUCUUUUUCUUUUGAAGUGUGUUUUUUCUUUCAUCCUCACCCCUCCUCUCAGUGGCCUGCUUGUGACCACAGUGUGAAAAGCAUCUAGUGGCCAGAAGGUGGAAAGAGAGAAGUGCUUCGAAGACACAGCAGUUCCCCAAACUCCAAGCUCUUCUGAAAUAUGGUAGCUGAUCUGGGAGUUGCAAGCCAGUCUCCUCUCCUCUCAUCCUCCAGACAACUUGGCCCACAGAAGCUGGCUGGAACCAGUUCCUGGUACUUCAGUGCAGACUUUAGUUCCUCGGCAUCUGAAGUCUUGAGAAAGGAGGAGCUAUGAGGCUGUUAGGGUGUUUGUUUAUUGCCUGUCUGUUCUUCAAGGUCCUGGAGCAGAAGGACUCAUUAUGCGCACUUCACAGAGGCAUUUCCAAUGAGGAGCAGACAUGGGAACAGGUUAAUUAAAAGCAGAGCUUGCUAAACAAAGGC
rnacentral:lncRNA from 1 species